GUAGGGUGCAAGCGUUAAUCGGAAUUACUGGGCGUAAAGCGUGCGCAGGCGGUGAUGUAAGACAGUUGUGAAAUCCCCGGGCUCAACCUGGGAACUGCAUCUGUGACUGCAUCGCUGGAGUGCGGCAGAGGGGGAUGGAAUUCCGCGUGUAGCAGUGAAAUGCGUAGAUAUGCGGAGGAACACCGAUGGCGAAGGCAAUCCCCUGGGCCUGCACUGACGCUCAUGCACGAAAGCGUGGGGAGCAAACAGGAUUAGAUACCCUGGUAGUCCACGCCCUAAACGAUGUCAACUGGUUGUUGGGGAUUCACUUCCUCAGUAACGAAGCUAACGCGUGAAGUUGACCGCCUGGGGAGUACGGCCGCAAGGUUGAA
rnacentral:rRNA from 1 species